GCAUAUCAAUAAGCGGAGGAAAAGAAACCAACAGGGAUUACCUCAGUAACGGCGAGUGAAGCGGUAACAGCUCAAAUUUGAAAUCUGGCCUCACGGUCCGAGUUGUAAUUUGUAGAGGAUGCUUCGAGCAUGGUCUGGCCUAAGUUCCUUGGAACAGGACGUCAUAGAGGGUGAGAAUCCCGUAUGCGGUCAGGUGCCUACGCUCAUGUGAAGCUCCUUCGACGAGUCGAGUUGUUUGGGAAUGCAGCUCAAAAUGGGUGGUAAAUUUCAUCUAAAGCUAAAUAUUGGCCAGAGACCGAUAGCGCACAAGUAGAGUGAUCGAAAGAUGAAAAGCACUUUGGAAAGAGAGUUAAACAGUACGUGAAAUUGUUGAAAGGGAAGCGCUUGCAACCAGACUUGCGCGCGGCCGAUCAUCCGGUGUUCUCACCGGUGCACUCGGCCGUGCUCAGGCCAGCAUCGGUUUCGGCGGUUGGAUAAAGGCCUCAGGAAUGUGGCUCCUCUCGGGGAGUGUUAUAGCCUGGGGUGCAAUGCAGCCUGCUGGGACCGAGGACCGCGCUUCGGCUAGGAUGCUGGCGUAAUGGUUGUAAGCGGCCCGUCUUGAAACACGGACC
rnacentral:rRNA from 2 species